AUGGAUGCUCACUACCCCAAGUACCUUCUCUACGGUAUCCUCAUCCUCGGCUCAUGGCUCAUCUCCUGUCUCCUGCACUUCCAGUUCUUCCACCUCUCCCUCUUCUCCUAUGGGCCCGGCUCCGGCGCGACGUUCGUCCUCAUCCCGCUGUCGGUGCCCAUGGCGCUCGAUGCCAGCUCCCUGCCAGCUCCCCCUGCCGUCGCCGACGAUGGCCCUCUGCGCCGGCUUUCGUCGGCAGCGCCGUCUUGCCAGGGGAGGUACGUUUACAUGCUGGAUGUGCCGUCGCGGUUCAAUGUUCUCAGCGACUGCGUCGAGGGCUCGCCGGCGUUUCAGGACGUGUGGCACGUGUGCUCCCUCAUGGCCAAUGUUGGCAUGGGCCCGGUGCUCCCUCCCGCCACCGGCAACGGCAGCGACGGUGACACCGGUGUCAUCCCCAACAGCGGAUGGUACGCCACGGAUCAGUACGCCCUGGAAGUGAUCGUGCACAACCGUAUGCGCCAGUACGAGUGCCUCACCGACGACCCGACGGCGGCGACGGCUCUGUACGUGCCCUACUACCCGGGGCUGGAGCUCCAACAGCACCUCUGCGGGUUCAACGCCACGGUGCGCAACGGGCCGUCGUCCGAGUUCCUGCAGUGGCUGUCGGCGCGGCCGCAGUGGGCGGCCUUCGGCGGCCGCGACCACUUCAUGGUGGUCGGCAAGACCACCUGGAUGUUCCGGCACAAAGAGGGGGACGAUAGCGGCACCCAGAAGGUCUGUGGCAACAACUUCCUCGAACAGCCCGAGUCCGGCAACAUGACGGUGCUCACCUACGAGUCCAACAUCUGGGAUCGGCGGGACUUCGCCGUGCCGUACCCGAGCUACUUCCACCCUACGUCGGCCGGCGAGGUGUCCGCGUGGCAGGCGCGCGUCCGCGCCGCAGAACGUCCCUGGCUAUUCGCGUUCGCCGGCGCACGGCGAGCCAACGGGACGCUUGCCAUCCGCGACCGCGUCAUCGAGUCGUGCGCCUCCUCGCCGAGCCGGUGCGGGUUUAUUGACUGCAGCCACGGCCUGGAGGGCAGCAUCACCUGCCGGUCGCCGCGGAGGCUCAUCUCCGUCUUCGCCUCGUCCCGUUUCUGCCUGCAGCCGCGCGGCGACUCAUACAUGCGCCGCUCCUCCGUCGACGCCAUCAUGGCCGGAUGCAUCCCCGUCUUCUUCCACGAGGCGUCCACCUUCAAGAAGCAGUACCGGUGGCACGAGCCAGAUCCGGAGAGCAGCGGCAACGGCGGCGGCCGCCCGUACUCGGUGCUCAUCGACCCCGACGAACUCCUGGAAGGGAAGGUGGACAUCGAGGGGGUGCUAGCCAGGUACACCGACGAGGAGGUGGCCGCCAUGAGGGAGGAGGUGAUCAAGAUGAUCCCGAGGUUCCUGUACAAGGACCCUAGGGUGAGGUUCGAGGGGGACACGAGGGAUGCGUUCGACAUCGCCUUUGAUGAGGUGAUGGCCAGGAUCAGGAGGAUCAAGAAUGGGGAGGAUUUGGGACGGUUUGCUGCUGCUGAUGUGAUGGUUGCAAAGGGCUCCUGA
rnacentral:rRNA from 1 species